CCUUUCCUGGUUUGAUGCUAACUCCUGGAUAACCCAGCUUAUCGCACGACCUAGUGUCGGCGAAAUUGCACUCGAGUAUCUGCCUUAUCAACCAUCGUCGGUAGUGUAAUGGACUACCCAGGUGUUGACGGGUGACGGAGAAUCAGGGUUCGACUCCGGAGAGGGAACCUUAGAAACGGGUUCCAAGUUUAAGGACAGCCGCAGGCGCGCAACUUAUUCACUGUUCAUUGAACGAGAUAGUGACGAGAAAUAACAAGGUUGUUCUCUUUGAGGUCCUGCCUUUGAAAGGAUGGAACGGAAACAAUUUCCUGAGUAACCACGAGAGGGCAAGUCUGGUGCCCGCAGCCGCGGUAAAUCCCGCUCUCGUAAAGUAUAGAAAUAUUGUUGCGGGUAAAAAGUUUGUAGUUGGAUUUUCUACUUCCACCGGUCCGGUCUAGCGACGUGGCUCUGGAGAGACACGUACUUUGUGCUCACAGGUGCGGUGGUGUACGCCGACGGGGCGCGGAUUACUUUGAACGGCUUAAGUGCUCAAGGCGAGUCUUCGGACUGAAUACACGGUGCAUGGAAUAAUGGAACAAGGUUUCGGCUCGAGUUUUAUUGGUUUUGUCGGCUAAAACAAUGGUUAACAGGAACAGCUGGGGGCACUCGUAUUCGCUGCGCGAGAGGUGAAA
rnacentral:rRNA from 1 species